rnacentral:rRNA from 1 species
AGAGUUUGAUCAUGGCUCAGGAUGAACGCUGGCGGCGUGCUUAACACAUGCAAGUCGAACGAACCUUCGGGUUAGUGGCGGACGGGUGAGUAACGCGUGAGAAUCUGCCCUCAGGAGGGGGAUAACGGCUGGAAACGGCCGCUAAUACCCCAUAUGCCGAGAGGUGAAACGAAAUUCGCCUGAGGAUGAGCUCGCGUCUGAUUAGCUAGUUGGUGGGGUAAGAGCCUACCAAGGCAUCGAUCAGUAGCUGGUCUGAGAGGAUGAUCAGCCACACUGGGACUGAGACACGGCCCAGACUCCUACGGGAGGCAGCAGUGGGGAAUUUUCCGCAAUGGGCGAAAGCCUGACGGAGCAACGCCGCGUGAGGGAUGAAGGCCUCUGGGCUGUAAACCUCUUUUAUCAAGGAAGAAGAUCUGACGGUACUUGAUGAAUAAGCCACGGCUAAUUCCGUGCCAGCAGCCGCGGUAAUACGGGAGUGGCAAGCGUUAUCCGGAAUUAUUGGGCGUAAAGCGUCCGCAGGCGGCCUUUUAAGUCUGUUGUCAAAGCGUGGAGCUUAACUCCAUUUCGGCAAUGGAAACUGGGAGGCUUGAGUGUGGUAGGGGCAGAGGGAAUUCCCGGUGUAGCGGUGAAAUGCGUAGAUAUCGGGAAGAACACCAGUGGCGAAGGCGCUCUGCUGGGCCAUAACUGACGCUCAUGGACGAAAGCCAGGGGAGCGAAAGGGAUUAGAUACCCCUGUAGUCCUGGCCGUAAACGAUGAACACUAGGUGUCGGGGGAAUCGACCCCCUCGGUGUCGUAGCCAACGCGUUAAGUGUUCCGCCUGGGGAGUACGCACGCAAGUGUGAAACUCAAAGGAAUUGACGGGGGCCCGCACAAGCGGUGGAGUAUGUGGUUUAAUUCGAUGCAACGCGAAGAACCUUACCAGGGUUUGACAUCCUGCGAAUCCCUUGGAAACUUGGGAGUGCCUUCGGGAGCGCAGUGACAGGUGGUGCAUGGCUGUCGUCAGCUCGUGUCGUGAGAUGUUGGGUUAAGUCCCGCAACGAGCGCAACCCACGUCUUUAGUUGCCAGCAUUGAGUUGGGCACUCUAGAGAGACCGCCGGUGAUAAACCGGAGGAAGGUGUGGAUGACGUCAAGUCAUCAUGCCCCUUACAUCCUGGGCUACACACGUACUACAAUGCUACGGACAAAGGGCAGCAAACUCGCGAGAGCUAGCAAAUCCCAUAAACCGUGGCUCAGUUCAGAUCGUAGGCUGCAACUCGCCUACGUGAAGGAGGAAUCGCUAGUAAUCGCAGGUCAGCAUACUGCGGUGAAUACGUUCCCGGGCCUUGUACACACCGCCCGUCACACCAUGGAAGUUGGCCACGCCCGAAGCCGUUACUCCAACCCUUGUGGAGGAGGACGUCGAAGGUGGGGCUGAUGACUGGGGUGAAGUCGUAACAAGGUAACC